AUGAACGCUAGCUACAGGCUUAACACAUGCAAGUCGAGGGGCAGCAUUUUAGUUUGCUUGCAAACUAAAGAUGGCGACCGGCGCACGGGUGAGUAACACGUAUCCAACCUGCCGAUAACUCGGGGAUAGCCUUUCGAAAGAAAGAUUAAUAUCCGAUAGUAUAUUAAAACCGCAUGGUUUUACUAUUAAAGAAUUUCGGUUAUCGAUGGGGAUGCGUUCCAUUAGUUUGUUGGCGGGGUAACGGCCCACCAAGACUACGAUGGAUAGGGGUUCUGAGAGGAAGGUCCCCCACAUUGGAACUGAGACACGGUCCAAACUCCUACGGGAGGCAGCAGUGAGGAAUAUUGGUCAAUGGACGAGAGUCUGAACCAGCCAAGUAGCGUGAAGGAUGACUGCCCUAUGGGUUGUAAACUUCUUUUAUAUGGGAAUAAAGUAUUCCACGUGUGGGAUUUUGUAUGUACCAUAUGAAUAAGGAUCGGCUAACUCCGUGCCAGCAGCCGCGGUAAUACGGAGGAUCCGAGCGUUAUCCGGAUUUAUUGGGUUUAAAGGGAGCGUAGGUGGAUUGUUAAGUCAGUUGUGAAAGUUUGCGGCUCAACCGUAAAAUUGCAGUUGAAACUGGCAGUCUUGAGUACAGUAGAGGUGGGCGGAAUUCGUGGUGUAGCGGUGAAAUGCUUAGAUAUCACGAAGAACUCCGAUUGCGAAGGCAGCUCACUAGACUGCAACUGACACUGAUGCUCGAAAGUGUGGGUAUCAAACAGGAUUAGAUACCCUGGAAGUCCACACAGUAAACGAUGAAUACUCGCUGUUUGCGAUAUACAGUAAGCGGCCAAGCGAAAGCAUUAAGUAUUCCACCUGGGGAGUACGCCGGCAACGGUGAAACUCAAAGGAAUUGACGGGGGCCCGCACAAGCGGAGGAACAUGUGGUUUAAUUCGAUGAUACGCGAGGAACCUUACCCGGGCUUAAAUUGCAUUUGAAUAAUCUGGAAACAGGUUAGCCGCAAGGCAAAUGUGAAGGUGCUGCAUGGUUGUCGUCAGCUCGUGCCGUGAGGUGUCGGCUUAAGUGCCAUAACGAGCGCAACCCUUAUCUUUAGUUACUAACAGGUCAUGCUGAGGACUCUAGAGAGACUGCCGUCGUAAGAUGUGAGGAAGGUGGGGAUGACGUCAAAUCAGCACGGCCCUUACGUCCGGGGCUACACACGUGUUACAAUGGGGGGUACAGAAGGCAGCUACCUGGCGACAGGAUGCUAAUCCCAAAAACCUCUCUCAGUUCGGAUCGAAGUCUGCAACCCGACUUCGUGAAGCUGGAUUCGCUAGUAAUCGCGCAUCAGCCAUGGCGCGGUGAAUACGUUCCCGGGCCUUGUACACACCGCCCGUCAAGCCAUGAAAGCCGGGGGUACCUGAAGUACGUAACCGCAAGGAGCGUCCUAGGGUAAAACUGGUAAUUGGGGCU
rnacentral:rRNA from 1 species